AGUGAACGCUGGCGGUAGGCCUAACACAUGCAAGUCGAACGGCAGCACAGUAAGAGCUUGCUCUUACGGGUGGCGAGUGGCGGACGGGUGAGGAAUACAUCGGAAUCUACUUUUUCGUGGGGGAUAACGUAGGGAAACUUACGCUAAUACCGCAUACGACCUACGGGUGAAAGCAGGGGAUCUUCGGACCUUGCGCGAUUGAAUGAGCCGAUGUCGGAUUAGAUAGUUGGCGGGGUAAAGGCCCACCAAGGCGACGAUCCGUAGCCGGUCUGAGAGGAUGAUCAGCCACACUGGAACUGAGACGCAGUCCAAACUCCUACGGGAGGCAGCAGUGAGGAAUAUUGGACAAUGGGCGCAAGCCUGAUCCAGCCAUACCGCGUGGGUGAAGAAGGCCUUCGGGUUGUAAAGCCCUUUUGUUGAGAAAGAAAAGCAGCAGGUUAAUACCCCGCUGUUCUGACGGUACCCAAAGAAUAAGCACCGGCUAACUUCGUG
rnacentral:rRNA from 1 species